UACAGAGGGUGCAAGCGUUGUUCGGAAUUAUUGGGCGUAAAGGGCGCGUAGGCGGGCUGUCAAGUCUGGGGUGAAAUGCCGCGGCUCAACCGUGGAACUGCCUUAGAUACUGACGGCCUUGAGGAAGGUAGGGGCAUGCGGAACUGUAGGUGGAGCGGUGAAAUGCGUUGAUAUCUACAGGAACUCCGGUGGCGAAAGCGGCGUGCUGGACCUUUUCUGACGCUGAGGCGCGAAAGCUAGGGGAGCAAACGGG
rnacentral:rRNA from 1 species